rnacentral:SRP_RNA from 1 species
GCCGGCUUGGGUGGCGCCAACUUGUAACGGAACGCUUCUGUCCGGGUAGUGAGGUACGAGGGCUGUGACACGUGUGGUGGCGACACUAUCCACAGGGUGUAGAAGGCGCGCCCGUCUCAAACCAGGUUCGACAUUGUGGUGAGCUCGUAAGGGUUCACACCAAGGUCACUAAGGAACGGUGCACCGCCCCAGACUGGAUAACAGAGCAGGGAAAAACCUUCGCUCCUGGUAGUGGGAGGAUCACGUGCCAGAAUCCUGAUGUGGCGUCACCGCUCUACAGGUCGCAACACGAAUACCUU